AAGGGAUUGCCCUAGUAACGGCGAGUGAAGCGGCAACAGCUCAAAUUUGAAAUCUGGCUCUCGGGCCCGAGUUGUAAUUUGUAGAGGAUGCUUUUGAUGCGGUGCCUUCCGAGUUCCCUGGAACGGGACGCCAUAGAGGGUGAGAGCCCCGUCUGGUUGGAUGCCAAAUCUCUGUAAAGCUCCUUCGACGAGUCGAGUAGUUUGGGAAUGCUGCUCUAAAUGGGAGGUAUAUGUCUUCUAAAGCUAAAUACCGGCCAGAGACCGAUAGCGCACAAGUAGAGUGAUCGAAAGAUGAAAAGCACUUUGAAAAGAGAGUUAAAAAGUACGUGAAAUUGUUGAAAGGGAAGCGUUUAUGACCAGACUUGGGCUUGGUUAAUCAUCUGGGGUUCUCCCCAGUGCACUUUUCCAGUCCAGGCCAGCAUCAGUUUUCGCCGGGGGAUAAAGGCUUCGGGAAUGUGGCUCUCUCCGGGGAGUGUUAUAGCCCGUUGCGUAAUACCCUGGCGGGGACUGAGGUUCGCGCAUCUGCAAGGAUGCUGGCGUAAUGGUCAUCAACGACCCGU
rnacentral:rRNA from 1 species